rnacentral:rRNA from 1 species
UACGUAGGGGGCAAGCGUUGUCCGGAAUCAUUGGGCGUAAAGCGCGUGUAGGCGGUUCAGUAAGUCUGCUGUGAAAGUCCAGGGCUCAACCCUGGGAUGCCGGUGGAUACUGCUGGGCUAGAGUACGGAAGAGGCGAGUGGAAUUCCCGGUGUAGCGGUGGAAUGCGCAGAUAUCAGGAGGAACACCAAUAGCGAAGGCAGCUCGCUGGGACGGUACUGACGCUAAGGCGCGAAAGCGUGGGGAGCGAACAGG